rnacentral:rRNA from 1 species
UACGUAGGGUGCAAGCGUUGUCCGGAAUUAUUGGGCGUAAAGAGCUCGUAGGCGGUUUGUCGCGUCUGCUGUGAAAACCCGAGGCUCAACCUCGGGCCUGCAGUGGGUACGGGCAGACUAGAGUGCGGUAGGGGAGAUUGGAAUUCCUGGUGUAGCGGUGGAAUGCGCAGAUAUCAGGAGGAACACCAAUGGCGAAGGCAGGUCUCUGGGCAGUAACUGACGCUGAGGAGCGAAAGCGUGGGGAGCGAACAGG